GCCCCUAUUAGUAACUUCCUUGUUCAUGACCAGCUGCAAGGAUAAAGAUUCUCAAGCUUUUUUGAUUCAAAUACGAAGGGAAAUGAAAGGAAAGUGAAAUCCCAACCGAAUGCCAAAUUCAAGUAAAAUGCCAUUAAUUACAUCAAACAUGAGGUAAAUCCCUCCUGAAGAAGCACAUUAAACCCCAUUGCCCAUGCAAGGAGGCCUUGACUAUGUGAUCACAAAUACAUCACCACAUUCACAACUGUAGCUAACAUUUAUUAUCUAUGUCCAAAACCCAUGUCUAGUUCAUGACCAUAUAUCCCCUGACUAUGGCCAGCCAUUGCAAAAGGAUGAAUUGGCUUAGAUUUUGACCUGAGUUCCGUCUCCAAGAGCCUUUGCAGAGCCUCUGGAUGACGGGUUCCACCACCAACAUCAGGAGCUUGUGGUGGAAUUCCAAGGCCACCAAAGUUGGCUUGCCUUUGACCAAAAGGGAAACCUUGCANUUCCUGUACAAAACCGGGCACCUGAUUGUUGGGAUGCGGAGGCAAAGGUGCACCCCGGGGAAAUCCACGUAGAAGGUGGGGUGGAGGUAAAUUGCCAGGCAUAUGCAGUUGUAACAUAGGGUUAUGUGGAUUAGGAUCUAAUCUAGUCAGUCCAGCACUGGAUUGGUGGAAAGGAGGGUAAAUCAAAUUUGCAGGAAAUUGAUGAUUAGGAGGAUCAUGAUGAAUGUUCUCUUGGGCCAUGAAUUUCACCUGAGCGUUAACAGUAGCAGGAUGAGAAUCUAAUGAAUGGAACAUUGGCCCUGCAUGAUUCAACUGA
rnacentral:misc_RNA from 1 species